rnacentral:RNase_P_RNA from 1 species
UCUGCUCUUUGGGCGAUCGCCCAGCACCUUCUUUCGCAGCUGCAGUAACCACUCGCGAAAUAUCAAUCGUGAUUAUCGAGUCUACGAAAAAAGGUGCUGGGAGGAACGUCCGGGCUUCAUAGGAACGCCAUGCGGGUAACGCCCGCCGCGGCGGUGCAUACUCCAUCCUUGUGGUGGACAAGACCGUCGUAGGACAAGUGUCACAGUGACGAAUCCCGUCCAGCACCUUUUUCCGUAGAUAUUGUAACAACUAUCGGAAUCACAAUCGUGAUUAUCGAAUCGACGAAAAAAGGUGCUGGAUGGGAGUGCAACGCCCCGGGAACCGGGGUCCAGCACCUUUCUCGUUCGUGUGCCAAAUGCUAGUUAACCCUGGCAUUCGCUCCAAACAUUCAGAAAGGUGCUGGAUGGUAAACUCUUGGUGAAGCAAGGAGGAUUUGGGUGUAGGGAAUCGGCUUUGGUUCCAAAGUCCCUUUCACCCCUCCGCUCGAGCCCGCGAGCAAUCGCGGGCCUAGAUAGAUGAUCGCCUCCUCGGGGGAAACCUCGGGAAGACAAGACCCGGCGUAUAGAGGAGCAGCGAAU